AUCAUUUCUGUGUUAAUGUAAUUCUCUAGAGUGCAGCCUACACAUGACUGAUAAUGACAUAAAGGAUUGUUUAUAUAAUUAUUAUUAAUUUCAUGUAAUAAUUCAGAUUAAUUUAAGUGUACUGGAAAUAGAUCAGUUUUCAAUCUGACCAUCACAGGAACUGUUAAUUACAUCACAAAACAUCCAUAUCAUUAAUAAUAAUAACAACAAACAACCAAAUUCUUUUCCACUGUGGAACAGCUUGGAUUCGACAACUUGACAACAUUUAAAUACAUUUCAGAUACAUUCUCCUCCCAUCAUCAGCAGAUAAGCAAAUCCAAGCAUCAGAGCUGGAUCUCACUCUAUUUAUAUGAUGUGAUGGUGUCUGUUAAACUUUGGAGAACAGAGAAGACUCCAGUACAAACAACACACACCAUGUUCUCUACAUCUCUACUGCUCCUGCUGGCAGCUGCUUCUUAUGUACAUGGUGAGGAACUGACUCAGCCUGCUUCCAUGACAGUCCAGCCAGGCCAGAGUCUCUCCAUCCACUGCAAGGUUUCAUAUUCAGUUACAAGCUAUCAUACAGCUUGGAUCCGACAACCUGCAGGAAAAGCUCUGGAGUGGAUUGGAUACAUCAGUAAUGGUGGGAGUACUUAUUACAGUGAGAAACUGAAAAAUAAGUUCAGCAUCUCCAGAGACACUUCUACUAACACAAUAACAAUUGGAGGACAGAACAUGCAGACUGAAGACACAGCUGUGUAUUACUGCGCUCGUCACCACAGUGAGACAGAAUAGUGGAUUCCUCUUACAAAAACCUUAUGAGACAUGUUACACACAUCCUCUCAAUGCAACUAAUAAAUCAUCUCAGUCACACAUUCACUUUCUUCUAUUGUAAUAAAGUCAUAAUAGUUUGCAGUGUUUUAAAACACAUUCACACAAAAUCUUUAUUAAAUAAAAAAUAAAACAUCAGUUUAUUCUAAACUAUUAUUAAUCCCUUCAUUUUACAGGAUUUUUAACCAACAGUUGAAUCAGUGUUUACUGAGUGGAUUCAGGAAUAAUACAGCAUGUUUCCAGCAGUGUGUUGUGUUUAACACA